UACGGGGGGGGCAAGCGUUGUUCGGAAUUACUGGGCGUAAAGGGCUCGUAGGCGGCCAACUAAGUCAGACGUGAAAUCCCUCGGCUUAACCGGGGAACUGCGUCUGAUACUGGUUGGCUUGAAUCCGGGAGAGGGAUGCGGAAUUCCAGGUGUAGCGGUGAAAUGCGUAGAUAUCUGGAGGAACACCGGUGGCGAAGGCGGCAUCCUGGACCGGUAUUGACACUGAGGCGCGAAAGCCAGGGGAGCAAACGGG
rnacentral:rRNA from 1 species